GACGAACGCUGGCGGCGUGCCUAAUACAUGCAAGUCGAACGCAUUUUCUUUCACCGUAGCUUGCUACACCGAAAGAAAAUGAGUGGCGAACGGGUGAGUAACACGUCGGUAACCUGCCCAUCAGCGGGGGAUAACACUUGGAAACAGGUGCUAAUACCGCAUAAUUCCAUUUACUGCAUGGUAGAUGGAUGAAAGGCGCUUUUGCGUCACUGAUGGAUGGACCCGCGGUGCAUUAGCUAGUUGGUGGGGUAACGGCCUACCAAGGCUGCGAUGCAUAGCCGACCUGAGAGGGUGAUCGGCCACACUGGGACUGAGACACGGCCCAGACUCCUACGGGAGGCAGCAGUAGGGAAUCUUCGGCAAUGGACGCAAGUCUGACCGAGCAACGCCGCGUGAGUGAAGAAGGUUUUCGGAUCGUAAAACUCUGUUGUUAGAAAAGAACAAGGAUGAGAGUGGAAAGUUCAUCCCUUGACGGUAUCUAACCAGAAAGCCACGGCUAACUACGUG
rnacentral:rRNA from 1 species